GACGAACGCUGGCAGCGUGCUUAACACAUGCAAGUCGAACGGAAAGGCCCUGCUUUUGUGGGGUGCUCGAGUGGCGAACGGGUGAGUAACACGUGAGUAACCUGCCCUUGACUUUGGGAUAACUUCAGGAAACUGGGGCUAAUACCGGAUAGGAGCUCCUGCUGCAUGGUGGGGGUUGGAAAGUUUCGGCGGUUGGGGAUGGACUCGCGGCUUAUCAGCGUGUUGGUGGGGUAGUGGCUUACCAAGGCCUUGACGGGUAGCCGGCCUGAGAGGGUGACCGGCCACAUUGGGACUGAGAUACGGCCCAGACUCCUACGGGAGGCAGCAGUGGGGAAUAUUGCACAAUGGGCGGAAGCCUGAUGCAGCAACGCCGCGUGCGGGAUGACGGCCUUCGGGUUGUAAACCGCUUUCGCCUGUGACGAAGCGUGAGUGACGGUAAUGGGUAAAGAAGCACCGGCUAACUACGUG
rnacentral:rRNA from 1 species